GACGAACGCUGGCGGCGUGCUUAACACAUGCAAGUCGAACGGAAAGGCCCUGCUGUUUUGGGGUGCUCGAGUGGCGAACGGGAGAGUAACAUGUGAGUACCUUCCCCUUGGCUUUGGGAUAACUUCAUGGAACUGGUGCUGAUUCCGGAUAGGCGCUCCUUCUGCAUGGUUGGGGUUGGAAUGCUUCGGCGGUUGGGGAUGCGCUCGCGGCUUUUCAGCUUGUUGGUGUGGUAUUGGCUUACCAAGGCUUUGACGGGUAGCCGGCCUGAGAGGGUGACCGGCCACAUUGGGACUGAGAUACGGCCCAGACUCCUACGGGAGGCAGCAGUGGGGAAUAUUGCACAAUGGGCGGAAGCCUGAUGCAGCAACGCCGCGUGAGGGAUGACGGCCUUCGGGUUGUAAACCGCUUUCGCCAGUGACGAAGCGUGAGUGACGGUAAUGGGUAAAGAAGCACCGGCUAACUACGUG
rnacentral:rRNA from 1 species